UACGUAGGGGGCUAGCGUUGUCCGGAUUUAUUGGGCGUAAAGAGCGUGUAGGCGGCUUGGCAAGUCUGCUGUGAAAACUCGAGGCUCAACCUCGAGCUGUCGGUGGAAACUGCUUGGCUAGAGUCCGGAAGAGGAGAGUGGAAUUCCUGGUGUAGCGGUGAAAUGCGCAGAUAUCGGGAGGAACACCGGUGGCGUAAGCGAAUCUCUGGACAGUUCCUGACGCUGAGGCACGAAGGCCAGGGGAGCAAACAGG
rnacentral:rRNA from 1 species